GACGUAGGGUGCAAGCGUUGUCCGGAUUUAUUGGGCGUAAAGAGCUCGUAGGCGGCUUGUUGCGUCGACUGUGAAAACCCGCGGCUUAACCGCGGGCUUGCAGUUGAUACGGGCAGGCUAGAAUUCGGUAGGGGAGACUGGAAUUCCUGGUGUAGCGGUGAAAUGCGCAGAUAUCAGGAGGAACACCGGUGGCGAAGGCGGGUCUCUGGGCCGAUAUUGACGCUGAGGAGCGAAAGCGUGGGGAGCGAACAGG
rnacentral:rRNA from 1 species